rnacentral:lncRNA from 1 species
CGGUCAAGCACACAUAAAGGUUAAAAGACCUUUGAAAGAGUAUCCUGUUCAUGCUUAUAAUCUCCUCUUACAACUCUCAAACGCUGACUAAUAGGCUCUCUCAUAUUGCUUUCAGGUAUCAUUGAUCUCUGCAUAUCCCUUUCAAGUUUCUGAAAAGUGCACAGGCAGGAAAAUGAAAGUGUCAGAAAGGAACCCAACUAAAGAGAACCCUGCAAACAGUGUUGUUCAAAUAUUUGUUUUUCUCAUCUUGAGGCCUCCAGGAGGUGUUACAAUGAAAUGCUCCUCAUCACCACCCUGCUCACUGAAGUGAGGAAAGCUGCAGCCAGAGGGAGAAGUGGAGCUGGUUCUCCAAGGAAAGACACCCCACACUGCUAGGCCUACAACUUAGCAAAUAAACAGUGUUACUCACAGGCA